UUCUGGCUCAGAUUGAACGCUGGCGGCAGGCCUAACACAUGCAAGUCGAACGGUAACAGGAAGCAGCUUGCUGCUUGCUGACGAGUGGCGGACGGGUGAGUAAUGUCUGGGAAACUGCCCGAUGGAGGGGGGAUAACUACUGGAAACGGUAGCUAAUACCGCAUAAUGUCGCAAGACCAAAGGAGGGGGACCUUCGGGCCUCUUGCCAUCGGAUGUGCCCAGAUGGGAUUAGCUAGUUGGUGAGGUAACGGCUCACCAAGGCGACGAUCCCUAGCUGGUCUGAGAGGAUGACCAGCCACACUGGAACUGAGACACGGUCCAGACUCCUACGGGAGGCAGCAGGUGGGGAAUAUUGCACAAGUGGGCGCAAGCCUGAUGCAGCCAUGCCCGCGUGUAUGAAGAAGGCCGUUCGGGUUAGUAAAGUACUUCAGGCGGGGAGGAAGGGGUUAAGGUUAAUAACCUUAGCCAUUGACGUUACCCGCAGAAGAAGCACCGGCUAACUCCGUGCCAGCAGCAGC
rnacentral:rRNA from 1 species